AGGAUGAACGCUGGCGGCGUGCCUAAGACAUGCAAGUCGAGUGGGUUUAGACCCACGGCGAACGGGUGAGUAAUACCUAGGAACUUUCUUUAAGUGGAGCAUAACCAGUCGAAAGAUUGGAUAAUACUUCAUGUGAUAGCAAUAUCAAAGUCGCAAGACGCUUAAAGUGAGGCCUGGGCACCAUCAGCUAGUUGGUAAGGUAACGGCUUACCAAGGCUAUGACGGUUAGGGGUCCCGAGAGGGAUAACCCCCCACACUGGAACUGCGACACGGUCCAGACUCCUACGGGAGGCAGCAGUUUGGAAUUUUGGACAAUGGGCGAAAGCCUGAUCCAGCGACGCCGCGUGGACGAUGAAGGCCUUCGGGUCGUAAAGUCCUUUUGCUCGGGAACAAUAUUUUGAGCGUACCGAGAGAAUAAGAGGUUGCUAACUCUGCGCCAGCAGCCG
rnacentral:rRNA from 1 species